GACAUUCUCCAGACCUCUUGGCUGGUAGUUCAGCCAUUGGGCUCCUAGGACCCUAGGACCAUUGCUCAGAGCCUAACGUGAUUUGUUCUCUUGGCAAAAUGGCCUGAUGUCAAGGCCAUGCCAUCCUUAUUUUCAAGAGUUUUCUUGCCUCUUGUGAUAUAACCUGAGUGAUUUUAUUCUUGCAACAAGAAAGGAUCAUUUUCAUUUGUCAGAUGAGAAAACUGAGGUUCAGGUUGCUUAGGUAACAGGCAUGACGUCAUGAAGAUACGCUGAUGCCAAAGGAAGGAGAGAUUCUGAAAACAGCAUCCUGGAAGUUAACUGAGCCCUCAAGGGCUCCUCCUGAACCAGUAUCCUGGAGGAAGAGGACCACAUGUGCAACCGAGUGAGCGGUGUGGUUGGAUUAGUCUGCUGAGGCUGCCACAGAGUACUGCAAACUGGGUGACUUGAACAACAUCCAUUCAUUAUCUCGCAGUUCUGGAGACUCAAGUCCAACUUUAAGAUAGCUGCUUCUUGGAGUGCUGUGUUGAAAAGCAUCAGAGGGGAAGGCACGGAACUGGCAGGGAUGAGGAGCAGCAGGCGGACCACACGUCCUGAAGCAAGAGACAGAGAUGGGACUGUGGGGAAGUCAGUUCUCACCACCUGACACCCGCAGGCCCCCCUACAGGGAUGCAGUGGGUUGUGUUACACGCACAACUGUUGACUUUCAUUUUGGCCACUGUUGAGGAAUUUACAAAUUGAACCAAUUUGGAGACUUAAAUUUGUUGGCUGGAUUUAACCCCAAAACUAGGUUUUCUCUAAUCAGUGGAAAGAGGUCUUCUAGCUCUUUACUUGAAAGUUUAAAAUAGAGAGUUUAUGUAAGACAAUAAGACCUUCCAGAGACUCACUUGGAAUCUUUUCACCAAUUACUCUCCUGCUGAGGAGCUUCUAUGCUAGUCUCAGGUAAGUCCAUUCCCAGCAGCCAGGGAGGCCAGCUCUUGCUUUCUUUUGUAAAAGUGCACACAGAUAGCUCUUGACCCAGGCACUCCAGAGAUGUAAUAACAACAUGCAGAGAUCUGUAUGUUAGAAUCAAGGCCCAGUUUCGCUCUGGGGGAAAAACUCAAAACAAUUCUCACAGGCGUUCAUUUUAGGGCGCUUCAGAAGGCUCCAUGACCCAAAAUCAGGACACCUCCUGGCAACAGUGCAGAGUUGAGAUAGGGGUGUGGGAUGUCACAGCCAAGGCCUCGCCACUCAGCCCCAAAGGGCUGUACAGGAAAAAGAGGAGCUGUUGAGCACAAACUUGUCAGAAAAUUCAUGAAUCUCAGGCCUUUGCUUCCCUCCAGGAGGCAUUCAUGUACUGGCUUUACCGGCUCACAGGAGCUAAUGUGACUUUUUUGGGAAUUUUGCAAAGCAAUUGUUAAACACAACCAAUAUUAAAAAUUAAAGUAUACAAACUUGGA
rnacentral:lncRNA from 1 species